rnacentral:misc_RNA from 1 species
AUGGGCAAGUGUCGUGGUCUCC